rnacentral:sRNA from 1 species
UCCAGUGUUGCUUAGUUGAGUGUGCGACGCGUUUGGCUUUAGUCGCUUGCCGUUAGUUUCGUUCACCAAAUGGCACCGAUAGUGAUGAAAUUUGCCAAGCGGAAAUUGGAAAUUGGAAAGUGCAAAGUGCAAAAUGGCCAGGGGAAAAUGCAUAAUGUCAAAGAAAAAGGCCCAAAUGCAAAGCAUUUAUAUCGCAAUGUGUGGCAAAGGUGAAGUGAAUUUGUUAUUAUUAUAUUAUUAUUUUUUUGGCUGAUUUCGCCGUCGCAGUCGCUGCGUCGCUGUCGCGAGGGCUUUGAACUCCCGACGUUCGCGUACCCGUUCAACGGCCCGCAGAUCGCAAGUAACGACACCGCCCCCGCCCAGUUGCUGUAGUGAAAAAGUGUAACAAAAAUCAAAGUGCGCCGAGCUGUAUUAUCUGGAACGCCUUAGAUAACCGCCUCACCCCCACCCCCUGCGAGCGGAGCAGCGAACAAUCAGCUAUUGACCCCGCUUCUGAGCAUUGAACUGCGAAAUGGGCCAUCAACAAAACUGGAUGUACAUACAUAUGUAUAUGUAUACAUACAUAUACAUAUUGCAGCUACAUGAAGCACACAAAAAAACUGCCGACGCUGGCAGCGCAGCUAGCGUCAGCGCCAACAACAGCGCCAGCGACAGCAACAGCGACAGCGACAGGCGAAUGUCUUAGUUAGCGAGAAAAAAGGAGGAAGAAGAAGAAGCAGCAGCAGUAGCAGUUGAAAAAAAACAUUGCAGCUCGCUAGGGGCGAAAAAAUGGGGUCUUACUUCAACUUGGCGGCGAAUCAAUCGAUACACGGCCGCAAUCCGUUGGCCAAUUCGCUGGGGACAAGGGCACAACAAAGCGCUGAAACCUUGACUCACGCUGGUCGGUGGAUGGGACUAUAGGACCAGCUGAAUACAUACAUACAGACAUAUAUAUUUAUACUUGAUUUUCCCAGGAAAUGUCUUUCCAUUUCUAAGCUAAUUGAAAAUAUUAAAAGAGUAAGGACUUAUUAUUUUAUGUAGGCCAUUCAAAUUUUGU